AAUUCUGUCUCAAAAAAUACAAAAUAAAUAAAUAAAAUAAAUAAAUAAAAAAACAAAACAAAAUUAAUUAAAAGAAAGUUUGGUGGUUUUUCCUUACCCCCAUCCAUGGCAGAUUCAUUUUUCUCUGCUCCUUCCUAGUGAUGAAAAUGGCUCUGUUCUUGCUAGGAAGGAAUCUUCACUUUCUGAAAUUUAGUUCAUUUCACUUCUUUGCAUCUGCAGCUCUCUGAUAGGUUUUAAACAAUUGUGAUAUUGUACCUUACCUGGUUCAUUCUCAUUGUUAGGGUGGGAGCAAGUCUCCAGUGAUUUUUGGCAUCCUAAAUGGAAAUAGAGCUCAGUUCUUUUUGUUUUUAUUUAUUUACUUUCUAUUUCCAGUAACUAGAUGCCAAUCUAUGCAGCUGGGAUAGGAAUAGAUUUGAGUGAUCCCAACUCAAAAUCCUGAUUCCUUUCCUAUGCCAAAAACUUUCUGUUGGAUAAAACUCAUAAUUUCUGACACCUUCUCUCACUUGAAGUUGCCCCCAAGAGGCUCUUCAGAACCCAUUAAAUGGAUUUCUGUUGGGCCCACCCAUCAGUGUUAUGGAGACGUCUAAAUGUUACUAUUCAAGGCAUGGCAAACUCCUCACCCCUCAGCUACUCAAUGCAUCUAUUUUUACAGUAAGAAUAAGCUGGAGAGGGGCAAUCCCUCAAAAGCAUUUUCAGCUUGGGUGACAUCAAGGCUUACAGAAAAGGGAGAAAUUUCAGGGUGAGAGUAGGGUAGGAACACCUACCUACUAACGUUUCUUUGGUAUCUUCUCUGAGCCACCCUUUUGCAGUUAAUCCUGUGGUACUUCCUUGAGAUAGGUCUUAUCAUUUAACACACAAGGAAGCUGAGACUCCACGUCGGGAUAUAACUUGCUGGAGGUAAGUGGCAGAGAUGGGAUUUGAACCCACAUCUGACUCAGCCUAAAACCUAGGCUUAAAAAAAAUUUUUUUGACCGAUAUGGAGGAAGGCAUGGCAGAAGACGGAGUAGGCAGACCACUGCUCCCCAGUUGGGCCGGGGACUGACCCGGCAGGUGUCGGCCCUGGGGUCAGAACCAUGUUGGAGGCUGUAGCUUCUGAGGACAGUGCUCUUCUGUCAGGAUCCCACCUCACAAUGGAUUCAGGUACUCUCUGGUAACCUUGAGCAGUGCGUUUAGUUUUUUUCUGAACAUCAGCAGCUUUCCUGAAAACUGGAGUUGUCCCAAAUUCUUCUAAAACCUUCCUGUGGGAAAUUGGGAGCCACUCCUCCAAAGGUCUCUCUCCCAAUAACUGGAUUUAUAGAAAGGAAAGGACAGAAAGAAGCAGCCCCCACGUUCACCCCAGCCCCUGCCCAUCCCAGUCUGCACAAGCCUUCUCGCCACACCAGAGGCCACCUCACGCUCGGCCUCUUCUCCCUGGCACGGUGGCUCACACAGGAAAAGCCAAAGUGUAAUUAGCUAAUAGCAGAGCUCCUCCGUUAAUGGAAAGGGCAUUUCAAACUUAUGCAAACUGAUACCGUGGGAUUUGUGAGAAAUCAUCAAUAGGAUGCAACAGAGAGGACUCACAGGUCACUUGUCAAGUGGGGACAAAGCUUUUCUCAUUUAAGCUUUGAGACCCAGAGUGGGUCCCUGAAUCGCUGGCCUGCUGGGAUGUGAGAGCACUGGGGGAGGAAGCUGGGACCCCUUUUUGGAGCAUCUUUUCCCUCAUAACAGUUCCGGUCAGUACUGCUACAUACCCAACAGGCAUGAUCUCAGCUGUUCCUCACCACAACCCAAUGAGGUAGGUACUAGUAUUGUCCCCAUUUUAUAGCUGAGGAAACUGAGACUCAGAGAGGUAAGUAACUAGACUAACGCUAAGCAUCUAGUCAAUGGUGAGCCUGGAACAUGAGCCCAAGACUGCUUAAAUUGCAGGUCAAGGUGGUUAACCACUUUCCUGGUACCUUUCCAUUCAGUGGUUGACCUACUCUAAAACCUAGGUUACUAAUAGAAGAUGACAUGGGAUCCUCCGAGGCUGGUUAUUGAUUACCACACCUCUUUUCUCCUCUUCUUGGGCUUAUGCCCACACUAUAUUUCCCAGACUCCCUUGCAGUUGGGUGUAGCCAUGUGACUGAGAGCUGGCCAUUGUCAUGUGCUGGGGAGAGGAGCAGUGAGCAAACACAAAAUCCCUGCCUGUUUAGAACUGAUCUUCUAGUGGUGGUGGUUGGGGCCAGGAGCAGCUGGACAGUGAAUUACUAAGAGGCGUUGUCCUUUUAGUCCAAGGCUCUAGUUCCUGUAUCAUACAAAUGCUUCUGGCAAAGGAUAAUAUUUCAAGCUAUUUUGGUCAUUAAACCUUAAAGAGGUUGACUGCAAAUUUGGCUGAGCUUAGAAAAGUGAAGAAUUCUUUCUGGGACAGUUCUGGGAAACAGAAGCCCAUACACGCUAAAAGGAACCAAGGAAUGUUUUCCAUUUAUCUUGAGCUGGACACCAAACAAAUGUGUUCCUCUUUCUUUGCUCACUUAGAAGUCCUCUUCCUGUUCUGGGUUAAUCAACUUCAAGUUUGAAGGAGAUGAUGUUUAUUUUCAUCUUCGAAUCUGACCUGAAAACACUAAGAAAUUAUGAAUAAAUUUUAAUACAUUGGAACCCUAUUUAAACCACAACGUAUGAGUGGAUGAGUCACAAUUCCAAGACAGCCCAAUGCCCCAUACGACUCAGACACCAAUGACUUUAGUGCUCCUCAAAUCACUUUCCCAUGAAGGGCAAGGUUCUCUCGGUAGGGUGGGGCAUGGUCAGAAAGGAGAACUUCAGCUUCUGCUUCCAAACAGGCUUCCACGCUCAGAUGGGCCCUGCCGUCUCAAACACGACUCUUCACCUCCCUGCCACACUUUGUCCUUACUGGGCUUGCCAUCCUUCAAGGCAGGCCAAGGGCCCCCCUCCAGGAAGUUGCCUCCUCAUGACAGGCACCUUGCUGGUAGCUCCCAAUUAUUUUGUGAGAUGGGAUGCAGAACAGAGUUGCUUUGGAAGCCCUGGAGGGCACUGAGGGUCUGACUUCUGGGCCGCAGGACUCUUGCAAAGCCUGAUUCCUUGAAGACAUCACUUUGACUUACUUGGUCCCAGAGCCUGUCUUGUUUUUAAUUUCCCUGCUAAGUUUCUGUUCUCCAGCAAUGUAUAACCCCCUUUUUCUACUUCAAUAACCUCAGUGGUAGCUCUCACCAUGUUAAACAACGGUCUGAUUUGGCAUGGAAAAAAAGCAGUCAAUUGUUCCCUUUAAAUCUUAAUGUUUUCAGCCCUGGGAACAUUUGAAGUAACCAUUUAAUGAGAAGACUUCUGGUGAAGCAUAGGUAAGAUCUUAAAGGCCCUAAUUGCUCCCCAGAGAAAGCUGUCAGGGCUAAGUAACCUCAUUCAGGUUGUGUACGCAGAGCAGGGAGAGCAAAACAAGGCAGAAGUGAAGAGCGGAGGCUGAGGGGGCAGAAGUUACGGAGACUUCUCGGACCUGGAAGUAUUUCCGGAGUUGUGCCUUGCGCUGUCUGUUUUGGAUACCUGCUGGCUGACUGCUAUGCCCCCAAAUGGUCAAACAAAUGACUUACUCUUUCCUGGGCCUAGUUGCCUUCUAAUUUGGAACUCAAAUUAUAGUUCUUUCUUCUUCUCUUUCAUUUAAAUACAAAACAAAACAAAACAAAAUCUGAAACUAUUUUUCCUUCUAACCCCCAUUUGAACUUUUUAUUCGUUUUAUUUGCAUUCAUUUGCUUAUUCACUGCACGAAUGUUCAUCACGUUUCCCCGGGGUUUCGGACACUGUCCUAGGCGCUAGGGCUGCACCCUAUUAUUUAUGCAUUGUUGGUUUAGUGGCAAUAAGAUGAAUUUCUGCACAAGGGUCAAGAGAACAGAUGCACAUCACAUCUGCUGCCAGGGGGCACCUCCUAGGCCAAUAUCCCCUACCUCUAAAUUUGGGCUGUGUGAGGUAGAAUGGGGGAGUUCUACCAUACAAUAAGAAUGUUCACUGUGUGCCCAAGGCACGUGGAGAGCGAGGCACUUUGGAAAUUGGGCUCAAAAUGACUUCUUAUUUAAUUGAAACAAAAAGCCCUUUGUGUGAGCCUUGCUCCUUCCAGUCCACGGAGGCGGUCUGUUUGCUCUGACAGCAGCCCUGCAGCCCCUGAGCUGCCUCAGGUGAAAUGCUGCCUGGCUGCCAAUGGCCACACUGCCUGUGACCAUUAUAGGGCCUAAGUGGGUUUGGGAGCCAUACCCUUGGAAUUAAGUAAGAAAAAUGGAGGUGAGAGCAGGGCACUCUGCCGGCCACACUGUUCAGUCUUCUCUUGAUGUGACUGAGACUUAAAUUGGGAAGUAUUUGGCUGAUGGCGAGGGCAGAUAAACGUUACGGAUUUGAUGUAAUCCCAGACCUCAGACUUGAAACGGAGCUUGACCCUUCCCUUUGAGCACUUUUAUGCAAUACUACUGGACAUGUAGUAACAAGAAAGGAAACAGAGGGAGGAUAUCGGUGCAGCCAUGUGUCGAGUCUGGGAGAGAAAAUGACAGCGGGAGCAAGGCAGGAGAUGUGAAUCAAAUCAGGGGUUAAAACAGCAAAAGAGAAUUCCAUAAAGUUAGACUUUGUGACGGGGAUGUAAUGGAUUUUGGGGAAGGGGGCUAGGAAUGUCAUCUGGCUGUUUAGAAAUCCGGUAUAACCGUAUAGCCUGAAAUUCAAUUUAUAAUUAUUACAAAUUGCACGUAUGUGUCCUUGUAAGACUGUGGGGGUGGGUGGAGCAGCUUUUGCUCUGCCUGGUUUUCACACAGGGAAACUGAGGCACAGGAAGUUUCUAUGACUUGCUCGGGGUUGUAAAACUGGUGGCUAAAUUUUGUAUAAAAUAUAGUGUGUGUAUCCUCUCUUUCCAUGGUAAUGAUGUCUUGAAUUUGUCAAGUACAUUUGCAUUUAUCAUAUCAUUGGACCAGCCCAACAACCCUGCAGGAGGUGUAAUGGGUGAGAAAACCAAGGACCAGUGAAAGACUGAAAAUGGACUGGAAUUCCCAAUUCUUGGGCACUUUCCAUGUGCUUUGUGCCUUGUGCAUGCUGUCUCAAAAAAUACUGUCUUUUAAAGAUAUCGUUUAUCGCUUAUUUGCAGAUGGGGAGGCUGAAUUGUGGGAAGUGUAAGAGAUAUGUGGGAAGGGUAAGAGAGAUGCCCAAGACCACCUAACUAGUAAAUGGUAGACUAGAGGCAGCUCCAGGUAUAUGACCCCAAAGCCUGGGCUGUUCCAUGACAGCAGGUGACUCCUACCACCGGCUACCUGCCCGUGGACACCCGGCAGCCCGUCAGGGCAGAGUUGGCCUUAGAACUCCAUUUCUCCACUCCUAACGUUUCCACCAGACAAAGCGGCUUGCACAAUAACAGCUUUGUGGUGAAUAGCAGAAGUGUGGAAUCCAAGAAGCCUGAGUUUGGUUAUGGGUUCUUCUACAUGCUAGCAGAAGGUCUAGGGUGAUUCUUUGGUCUCCCACAGUGGUCCAGUUGCCACCUGUAUAAAAUAAAGAUGAAAACUCCCCCUUGGAAGGACUGUAAUGAGAAUUAGUGUGUGUAAACAGCUGACAGCUCUCGGGGUGUGGUGAGCAGCUCAGGUGGUGAUGGGUGUAGGGAGGGACAGCUGGGCGUCUGUUUCCUGACUUGGUCUCUUCGUGUUGCCCUAUCCUGUCUUUCUCAUUUCCACAGGUAGGCACACAGUUUCCUUUAUUUAUUUUUGAGACAGGGUCUUGUUCUAUC